rnacentral:rRNA from 1 species
UACAGAGGUCCCAAGCGUUGUUCGGAUUCACUGGGCGUAAAGGGUGCGUAGGCGGUCGGGUAAGUCUGAUGUGAAAUCUCACAGCUUAACUGUGAAACUGCAUUGGAUACUAUUCGGCUAGAGAGUUGGAGGGGGGACUGGAAUUCUUGGUGUAGCAGUGAAAUGCGUAGAUAUCAAGAGGAACACCAGUGGCGAAGGCGAGUCCCUGGACAACUUCUGACGCUGAGGCACGAAAGCUAGGGGAG